rnacentral:lncRNA from 1 species
GGGAAGUAGAUCUUGGGGAUGAAGUCUUUUUUUGAUGGCUUGGGAACAGAUGGGGCCUUUUGUGAGGUAGAUUUACGUUUCUUUGGGUCAUAACUUGCCCCAACCUUUUUUAGAAGAUCAACUAGAGUUUCCUCAGCAGAUGAACUAGGUUAAUCUCUCCGUUCGCUUAGAUGAACCAACCCUUCAGCUGCUUCCCCGGAUGCACUUCCCCUAACAUUAUGCCACUCUUUUCUUUAACCCCACAUAUAGCAAGAACUUCGCCUUCUCCUUUUCCUUUAUUUUUACCUACACUCCUACUCGAUUAAGCCAACUUUAUAUCUCUAAUAAGACCAACUAAAGCAGACCUAUUUUCUAGGUUUUC